rnacentral:rRNA from 1 species
GUCAGUAAGUUUUAACAAAACAAAACUUUCAACAACGGAUCUCUUGGUUCUCGCAUCGAUGAAGAGCGCAGCGAAAUGCGAUACCUAGUGUGAAUUGCAGCCAUCGUGAAUCAUCGAGUUCUUGAACGCACAUUGCGCCCCAUGGUAUUCCAUGGGGCAUGCCUGUCUGAGCGUCGUUUCCUUCUUGCGCAAGCAGAGUUGAGAACAGGCUAUGCCUUUUUCGAAAUGGAACGUCGUGGACGAAGUGAACUAAACAUUUAGCACGCUUUGGCCGCCGAACUUUUAACUAAGCUCGACCUCAGAUCAGGUAGGAAUACCCGCUGAACUUAAGCAUAUCAAA